rnacentral:tRNA from 1 species
CGGAUGUAGCCAAGUGGAUCAAGGCAGUGGAUUUGUGAAUCCCCCCCCGCC